rnacentral:rRNA from 1 species
AGGAUCAACGCUGGCGGCGUGCCUAAUGCAUGCAAGUCGAACGUGGUCUCUUCGGAGAUGCGCGUGGCGGACGGGUGAGGAACACGUGGGAAACCUGCCUUUUGGUGGGGGGUAGCCCUCGGAAACGGGGGGGUAAUUCCGCAUGAGCUCGCAUCUCGGUGGGAGGUGUGAGGAAAGGCUUCUUCGGAAGUCGCCGAAAGAGGGUCCUGCGGCCGAUUAGCUAGACGGUGGGGUAACGGCCUACCGUGGCGAUGAUCGGUAGCUGGUCUGAGAGGACGGCCAGCCACAGGGGAACUGAGACACGGUCCCCACUCCUACGGGAGGCAGCAGCAAGGAAUUUCCGCAAUGGGCGAAAGCCUGACGGAGCAACGCCGCGUGGGGGAUGACACUUUCGGAGCGUAAACCCUUUCUCGGGGUAGGAAGAAGUGACCGUACCCGAGGAACGAAGGCCCGGCUAACGUACGUGCCAGACA